GUGUCCCUAUGUGUCCCUAUGGGUCGCUAUGGGUCGCUAGGGGUCCCGUCAGCGCUGUGUGCGCCCCAUAGGCGUCGCUAUGGGUCCCUAUGUGUCCCUAUGGGUCCCAAUGCCUCUCUAUGUGUCUCUGUGGCUCUCUAUGUGUCCCUAUGUGUCCCUAUGUGUCCCUAUGGGUCCCAAUGUGUCCCUAUGGGUCCCUAUGUGUCCCUAUGUGUCCCUAUGUGUCCGUAUGGGUCCCAAUGCCUCUCUAUGUGUCUCUAUGGCUCUCUAUGUGUCCCUAUGGGUCCCUAUGGGUCGCUAUGGGUCGCUAUGUGUCCCUAUGGGUCCCUAUGUGUCCCUAUGUGUCCCUAUGGGUCCCUAUGUGUCCCUAUGGGUCCCAAUGCCUCUCUGUGGGUCCCUAUGGGUCGCUAUGGGUCCCGUCAGCGCUGUGUGCCCCAUAGGCGUCGCUAUGUGUCCCUAUGUGUCCCUAUGUGUCCCUAUGUGUCCCUAUGUGUCCCUAUGGGUCCCAAUGUGUCCCUAUGGGUCCCAAUGCCUCUCUGUGGGUCCCUAUGUGUCCCUAUGUGUCUGUAUGUGUCCCAAUGCCUCUCUAUGUGUCUCUAUGGCUCUCUAUGUGUCCCUAUGUGUCCCUAUGUGUCCCUAUGGCUCUCUAUGUGUCCCUAUGUGUCCCUAUGGGUCCCAAUGCCUCUCUGUGGGUCCCUAUGUGUCCCUAUGGGUCGCUAUGGGUCCCGUCAGCGCUGUGUGCCCCAUAGGCGUCGCUAUGUGUCCCUAUGUGUCCCUAUGUGUCCCAAUGCGUCGCUAUGUGUCCCUAUGUGUCCCUAUGUGUCCCUAUGGUUCCCUAUGUGUCCCUAUGGUUCCCUAUGUGUCCCAAUGCCUCUCUGUGGGUCCCUAUGGGUCCCUAUGUGUCCCUAUGGGUCCCAAUGCUUCUCUGUGGGUCCCUAUGUGUCCCUAUGGGUCCCUAUGUGUCCCUAUGCCUCUCUAUGUGUCCCUAUGUGUCCCUAUGGGUCUCUAUGUGUCCCUAUGUGUCCCUAUGGUUCCCAAUGUGUCCCUAUGGGUCCCAAUGCCUCUCUGUGGGUCCCUAUGGGUCCCUAUGUGUCCCUAUGGCUCUCUAUCCGAUCUCUAUGGCUCUCUAUGGCUCUCUAUGUGUCCCUAUGUGUCCCUAUGUGUCCCUAUGGGUCCCAAUGUGUCCCUAUGGGUCCCAAUGCCUCUCUGUGGGUCCCUCUGGGUCCCUAUGUGUCCCUAUGGCUCUCUAUGUGUCCCAAUGCCUCUCUAUGUGUCCCUAUGUGUCCCUAUGUUGUCCUAUGGGUUGCUAUGUGUCCCUAUGUGUCCCUAUGGGUCCCUAUGGGUCCCAAUGUGUCCCUAUGUGUCCCUAUGGGUCCCUAUGUGUCCCAAUGCCUCUCUAUGUGUCUCUAUGGCUCUCUAUGUGUCCCUAUGUGUCCCUAUGGGUCCCAAUGUGUCCCUAUGGGUCCCAAUGCC
ensembl:lncRNA